UCCCAUUUUACUCUAUAACACUGGGAUCGACAUCCAUUAGCUCAGAAGGAUCUAGGUUCAGGCGUGCCGGCAAGGCAUUAAUAUAAGUUCCUGCCUGUA